rnacentral:rRNA from 1 species
AAGGAAUAUUGGUCAAUGGACGAAAGUCUGAACCAGCCAUCCCGCGUGCAGGAUGACUGCCCUAUGGGUUGUAAACUGCUUUUAGUAGAGAAGAAACGCAGUCAUUUAUGAUUGCCUGACGGUACCUACAGAAUAAGCACCGGCUAACUCCGUGCCAGCAGCCGCGGUAAUACGGAGGGUGCGAGCGUUAUCCGGAAUCACUGGGUUUAAAGGGUGCGUAGGCGGGGAAUUAAGUCAGUGGUGAAAUCUUGUCGCUUAACGAUAAAAUUGCCAUUGAUACUGAUUUUCUUGAAUUGGGUUGAGGUUAGCGGAAUGUGACAUGUAGCGGUGAAAUGCAUAGAUAUGUCAUGGAACACCAAUUGCGAAGGCAGCUAGCUGGGCCUUGAUUGACGCUGAGGCACGAAAGCGUGGGUAGCGAAC